AUUGAACGCUGGCGGCAUGCCUUACACAUGCAAGUCGAACGGCAGCGCGGGCUUCGGCCUGGCGGCGAGUGGCGAACGGGUGAGUAACAUAUCGGAACGUGCCUUAGAGUGGGGGAUAACCAGUCGAAAGACUGGCUAAUACCGCAUACGAUCUACGGAUGAAAGUGGGGGAUCGCAAGACCUCAUGCUCUUAGAGCGGCCGAUAUCUGAUUAGCUAGUUGGUGGGGUAAAGGCCCACCAAGGCGACGAUCAGUAGCUGGUCUGAGAGGACGACCAGCCACACUGGGACUGAGACACGGCCCAGAAUCCUACGGGAGGCAGCAGUGGGGAAUUUUGGACAAUGGGGGCAACCCUGAUCCAGCAAUGCCGCGUGUGUGAAGAAGGCCUUCGGGUUGUAAAGCACUUUUGUUCGGAAAGAAAUCGUCCUGGCUAAUAUCUGGGAUGGAUGACGGUACCGGAAGAAUAAGCACCGGCUAACUACGUGCCAGCCGCCGCAGUAACAC
rnacentral:rRNA from 1 species